rnacentral:tRNA from 1 species
GGAGAGGUGGCAGAGUGGUCGAUUGCGGCAGUCUUGAAAACUGUUGAACUGCAAGGUUCCGGGGGUUCGAAUCCCUCCCUCUCCG